UCCCAAACAUGCAAUAUUUCUGCUCCAACACAUAAUUGCAUUUGUAAAACAUGAUUAGCAUUCAAGGUGAAAAAUUGCCAGGAUGUUUUUUGUCUUCUAUUUUGUCAGUAUGGUGCACAAGAGUGGUAGACCUAAAAUUCCCAAAAUUAGACAGGGAAAUGAAAUGUUUGCUGCAUGCCAGCUAGAAUAGUAGUGGAAAGAGAUGAGUCUGUAGACUGCCUGCCCGCCUGCCUGCCUGAUAUGAUGGUGAGAGAGAUGGGUGGUAGCACCGUUGAAGUCAUUUUUGUAGUGGAGUCAUUUUUGGGUGGUAUGUUCAGCAAGCAAUAAACUGACACGCGGCCUGUAGUGUUCUGCACGCCGAAAUCAGAAGCACACACUGUUUCUGGUAAGAGUUGGCCCAUGAAGCGAGAAACGAUUUUAUUCAUGGUUGAUAGACACUUUGAGUAACUGUCUGAGACAUCUUCACUGCGGAGGCCUAACCCUAAUGAGCUAUUGCAAUAUAUUAUGCAGUACCCUAAUUGUUCAUUACUAAAUUCUAACUGCUUGAAUUCUGAUUUUCAUAUACAUCUUAAUAUUUCAGUGGAGUUUCCUACAUUGCAGGGUGAUAUGGAUGAUGGAAAAGAGGCCAGCAGUGCUGGGCUAAACAAUUCAGGGAGGUAUUGGAUUGGCCUCUGUAGAAACUAUGGUAAAGGCACCUAAUCUUGGGCCCCUAGAAGAAGGAAACUCAACAUGCAUGGUUCUCAUUAGAGGCAACCAGACCGUUGUUGAAAAUAUUGAUGAUUCCUGUUGUGUAUUCUCAAGGAAUGGUCAGGUUUAGUACUGACCGUUGCGGUGCGUAGAAGAAAGGUGCUACUUUCACUUAGUUCUCUCAGUUCUAAGUUGGGACUGCAAAAAUUUGAGGAUUUCCCCACAUAGACCUGAAGUUUCUGCUUCUAGCAUUUCUCGUUUGUAAGCAGCAUGGCAAACCCGGUUUCAAAGUAAAGACCUGAGGAAGAAUGUGGAUUGAUCACUGUGAUUUCAAGUCCUUCAGGUGAUUGAUCACUGUGGUAAUUCAUUCUUUUGUCAAAAUUUGAUUACAAUUGGGGUUGGAGGGAAGCAACAAAAUUCCUAUCCUGUAAUAGACGUUUUUGGUGUGUGACUUGAUAGUUGUUCACGUCGAUACAAAAUUUCAUUCAUGUGGUUUUUUAAGGCAUUUGAAUUUAACAUUGUUUUUAUGUUUGUCUAAGAGCUGGAGCUGUUAAGACUUGAGACAGAUAUAUACAGGUAACAGGGGCCUAUAAGAUCCAAUUCAUGUUUGACAGUUCGUCAAAAUAAACAAGUAGUAUUGAUGGGUAAAGAAGAAAUUGAGGCACAUCAAUCAAACGCCAACCCACCAGCUAUUGGCACUAAAUGAGGAAGGAAAAGAACAUUGUCCCUGAAGGCUCGAGACACACAAACAGGAAACUGAGUUUGGCAAAGGUGGUUGUCUCCUUGACGCACACCAUGGUGCCCUUGUCUACUCUCUGUCUUCUUCCUUGCACAGACACCUUAUUUACUAGUAGUAGGUUCUCUCAUAGCAUUUUUCGGUGGAGUUGUACUGGCAUCUUUGACUGAAGUUUCUUUCAACUGGGACAAAACAUGACAAGAAAGGGAAGAACUAACCUACAUGGAGCUUGGUCAAGGUCGCCGCUCAUGUUUGAUGGCAUUAUUUCUGGUUCCACCGACGUUGUCGAUGCUUGUUACCUAUGGCCCCUUUGCCGCUUUCCUCGGUCGGGCGUGGUCCAUCAGCCACUGCAUGCAGACAAUAGAAUUUAGGCCAGCAAUUGUCGCUUAUCUACGCUACAGACCGACCCAUAGACAGGGAAAGGAAGCGAUGGUUGGUGGGGAGAGGAGCCGGGGGACGUGUUGUGACGGGACAAGAGGCGCAGUGGCAGGGAGAGAAGGUGAAGACUACGCCAUGAUGGUUACAAGUCAACGAAGAUUUUUUUACUAUAAUUGCUCAAGUACUGUGCGAAGGAAGCUGAAGACAAUAUUCCUGAUAUUUUAGGAGAUGUAAGUGAAGUGGAAUAACGAAAAUACAUUGCAUCAAGUACAUUUUUCAAUUGUUACUGUAAAUUUUUUCUAUACAUGUGAAAUUGGAAGUGCAUAGCUUAUGUAUGCAAUCAGAAAAAAAUUUAAAAGGCCCGUGGCAACGCACGGGCAUUGUACUAGUGGUACUAAUCUAUGAUACUAUGCACUAUAGAGAUAGUAAUAUAGACUAAUAAUAUAUGCAUGUUACUAGUCUAAGUUACUUCCCACUAUGACCAGCCUGAGGAGGCAACCUUUGG